CUCUUCACUCUUAGACUCUCAGCUGAAGAAGUGUCAUUUAGAAUAAAUCUCUUGACAUUUAUUUUGGUCCUUCGAGCCGGAUCAAAAAUAUCAGAACUGUUAUCUGUGACUCUGUUCCAGGAUCUGGCAUACUGUUUCCUGACGCCGUGGAGCCGGCACCGAAGUCUGUGCACAGCCCUCUUAGACGAGGCCGAAAGCCCUGGAACGCUAAAAUUCGGGUCCAGGCCGGUGUUUUUAGUCUGGUCCAUGGCGGCGGGAUUCAGUCUGACGAUCCGAAUCACCAGUGAGACGUCUGAGAGGUGAGAAACACUACUUUGGUUAGGAAUCGCCAUAAUGAACCGACAAAUAAAAUAGGUUAGGAAUCGCCUUAAUGAACCGACAAAUAAAAUAGGUUAGGAAUCGCCUUAAUGAACCGACAAAUAAAAUAGGUUAGGAAUCGCCUUAAUGAACCGACAAAUAAAAAAGGUUAGGAAUCGCCAUAAUGAACCGACAAAUAAAAUAGGUUAGGAAUCGCCAUAAGGAACCGAAUUAGACCUAGGUUUUAGAGGUAGCCGUAAUUACUUCGUAACAAAUUGUAAAAGCGCGCAAAUGUCUAUGUGUGUGUAUGUGUCUAGAAGUAAGUUGAUUUUACAGCACAAUACGCUGCUGAACUACUUCUAUUUUAUUUGUUUUCUUUGCUGAGGCUCACGUACUGGUGACAAAUGAGAACGGUUGAGUUUUAUCUCGUAAAACUGAUACCGCUUCAUUUUUUAGAAGUGAAGUAGAAGGGCGUAUCAGCAACCACUCUGAAGUCAAGCGUGCCAGUGACAGCCCAGCAAAAUCUUUGACAAUGGGGAAUAAACAAGCAAAAUUAACACCUGAUGAGGAAUGUUUAGGAAAACAACACACCAACCAGUAAUUAUAGAGAGGAAUGCAUAGGGGAAGAGCAAGAGGUAGAGACAGACCUAGAUACACACCAAACAGUAAUUAUAGCACUACAUGCUGGAAGUGUGGAAAAGAGGGACAUUUUGCACGUGACUGUAAGAAACAAAGAAGACAGGGACUCAGAACAGGGUAGUAGCUCAGGUGAAGAGAACAGUUCAGAUUAGGAAGAACAUAAUAAUCCCUCACCAAGUAAAAUUAGAGAUCCAAGUAUAAGUUUAAAAAGGGCUGGAAACAGACCCAACUGAAUGCAUAUAAAUGCAAGAGGAAUAAAGUUAAAUAAAACAACUGUAAUGUAUUCAAGUUGAUAAAAGCAAGGAUAACAACCUGUAAACUGGUAUGAACAAUGAAACAUAGUUAGGAUGAAGACCAUGCCCAGACUGAAUAGAACGAAAGAAAAUACAUAACUCACACAAACACAUAUUAAAUGAAAUAGAGAGAUGCAUAAGGUAUAUUAAGGUUGUGUCAUUGUUCAGCCAAGGAAAGUGUGUGAAAAGGAAAAUGUCUCCAGCUUGGGAAAGGGUGAGACUGCAGCUCACCCUCAGCCCUUGGUGGACACAAAUAAAAUAUAAAUAAAAUAUUGAAUAUACUAUUGCUGUUAUAUAAAAGAUAAUAACAUUAAUAAUGAAAUAAUAU